rnacentral:rRNA from 1 species
CUGUUUUUACAAAAACAUGUCUUUUUGAAAUAAAUUUAAAGUCUAACCUGCCCACUGAAUUGUUUUAAAUGGCCGCAGUAUACUAACUGUGCAAAGGUAGCAUAAUCAUUAGUCUUUUAAUUGAAGGCUGGAAUGAAUGGUUGGACGAGAUAUUAACUGUUUCAUUAAAAAUUUUUUUAGAAUUUUAUUUUUUAGUCAAAAAGCUAAAAUUAAUUUAAAAGACGAGAAGACCCUAUAAAUCUUUAUAUUUUAUUUAUUUAAAUUAUUAAGAUUAUUUUUAUUAAUAUAAUUUAAAAUAUUUUAUUGGGGUGAUAUUAAAAUUUAAAAAACUUUUAAUUUUAUUUAUACAUUAAUUUAUGAAUAUUUGAUCCAUUAAUAAUGAUUAAAAAUUUAAGUUACUUUAGGGAUAACAGCGUAAUUUUUUUGGAGAGUUCUUAUCGAUAAAAAAGAUUGCGACCUCGAUGUUGGAUUAAGAUAUAAUUUUGGGUGUAGCCGUUCAAAUUUUAAGUCUGUUCGACUUUUAAAUUCUUACGUGAUCUGAGUUCCAAACCGGA